CGAAAUUCUGCAAUGUGUGAUAAAUAGAUGAGUCUAAUAGCAGACCAGAAUUCUUUUGGAACCAACUCAGUUAAACCAUGAGACUAAAAUUAGAUAAAUGGAAAGAGGACCACCAAAGAAUACAAGUUUGUCUGCGAUUAAAUACAAAUUUGUGUUUGUUUAGUUGCUGGUCCUAGUUGGGAUGGUUUUUAUGAUGAGUUGACUUUCUCUUUUAAUUUUUGGUCAUUGUAGCAAAUGACAAAGAAUGAAUGUAAUAUGGGAAUGCUUA
rnacentral:sRNA from 1 species